UCGAGGAUCUUCGGCAAUGGGCGCAAGCCUGACCGAGCGACGCCGCGUGUGCGAUGAAGGCCUUCGGGUUGUAAAGCACUGUCGAGGGGGAGGAAAGCCCGCAAGGGCCUGACCUAUCCCUGGAGGAAGCACGGGCUAAGUUCGUGCCAGCAGCCGCGGUAAGACGAACCGUGCGAACGUUGUUCGGAAUCACUGGGCUUAAAGGGCGCGUAGGCGGGCGGUCAAGUCAGGGGUGAAAUCUUUCAGCCCAACUGGAAAACGGCCUUUGAUACUGGCCGCCUGGAGGGGGGUAGGGGCAUGUGGAACUUCCGGUGGAGCGGUGAAAUGCGUAGAUAUCGGAAGGAACGCCGGUGGCGAAAGCGACGUGCUGGACCCUUUCUGACGCUGAGGCGCGAAAGCCAGGGGAGCAAACGGGAUUAGAUACCCCCGUAGUCC
rnacentral:rRNA from 1 species